rnacentral:rRNA from 1 species
AAUAUUGGACAAUGGGGGCAACCCUGAUCCAGCCAUGCCGCGUGUGUGAAGAAGGUCUUCGGAUUGUAAGGCACUUUAAGUUGGGAGGAAGGGCUUUAGGCUAAUACCCUGAAGUUUUGACGUUACCAACAGAAUAAGCACCGGCUAACUCUGUGCCAGCAGCCGCGGUAAUACAGAGGGUGCAAGCGUUAAUCGGAAUUACUGGGCGUAAAGCGCGCGUAGGGGGGUCAGGAAGAUGGGUGGUAAAUCCCCGGGCGUUAACUGGGAACUGCUUUCAUAACUGCUUAGGUAGAGUACGGUAGAGGGUAGUGGAAUUUCCUGUGUAGCGGUGAAAUGCGUAGAUAUAGGAAGGAACACCAGUGGCGAAGGCGACUACCUGGACUGAUACUGACACUGAGGUGCGAAAGCGUGGGGAGCAAACA